ensembl:lncRNA
UGGGAGUCGCAGUUCGUCCGGGGCAACUUCUGCCUCUCUGGCUGGUUGCAGCCGGCGCCCCGGGCCAGCGCAGCCUGGGCCCCAGCCAUCCUGCCCCCUCUCCGGCCGGGAGAAGCGGGCGCUGGGCUCUGGGGCUCCCUGAGCCCGCGGAGGCCAGCGCCCAGGGCGCACAAGAAGAGCAGGGGUGGAAGAAGAAAGGAAUUUCAAGGAGGGCAUUGCUUAAAGGGACGUUUGGACAGAGCCAGUUUCGGUGCUGGGCCGCAGCUCUGCCUAAUUUUAAUCUCAGGACUGCAGCCUGCGACCCGUGGACGAUCUCCUCAAACUUCUUCCCUCACACCCGAGUCUCUUCCUGCCCUAGGAGUCUCCUGGUGCAUGGAACUGACCAGAAACUGGGGUUCCCCAAAGCCUCUGCCUGCCUUCUGCAGCUGAGCUGCUUCAGCCUCUGUGGGACACCCAUUUGAAGGAACCUGGCCAAAUCCAUGUAAGAGAUCUUGUAUUUUUUCCCUCCCAGCUGAGACUUCCUCCUCACCAGACACCUGUUCCAAGGAAGCUCCUGCAACAAGGGUGUGGGCUUGUGUUGUGAAGGUUGAGUAUCCAGGGUGACAGUGAAGAAUCCAUACUCCCACCCAAGAGUGGAUUUCAGUGCUGAGAGGAAGAGGAGGAAGACAUCUUGCUGGCUUGUGCCCCAGGUCUGCCUCUGGAGAAACAGGGCAAGCUGACUUGUGGAACGUGUCACUCUCUUGCACCUGGGGCACCUGAUCAGGCUGGACCUGCCCAUCAGAUGCUGAAGGCACAGCUGUGUCAUUUCACUGAGUCAAUUUGGCCAGAGUAUUAGAGGUGCCCUGUUUCCAACGGCAAAUCUAUAAGCAUGUUCUGAGUGUUCCUCCAACUCUUUCUUCAACUCCAUCCCUGAGCCCGGAGUCUCAGCCAGGCGUCUGCCAGGGGCUCUGCCUGGGCUGGGGUUCAGCCUGGUGACCUUCAGUCUAAUACCACCUCUCAGCCCUUCCUCCUGUUUCUCAGGAGCCCUAGAAGCUACCCUGGCCUGGGGCCCGGGAAGCUCCAUUUUGUUUCUCCUCAGCUGGGGAGCUGAACGAAUGCCCUCGACACUGGGGUCUUUCUCUCUCAGUCCCCCAGAGCCCUCACCCCAACUUACCCCACCUCAGUACAUAAAAACCUCUGCAUCUCCACCAUGGGGUACCGAGAGCCUUUAACUCAGUCCCAGCUGCCUUCCCGCCCAGGCCCUUCCCUUAGUUCUGCUCCUUGAAACCACGAUUGCAGACAGGACAUAGAGGUUCAGGUGGAAGGGGAACAAAGACAUUUGGGGAGAACUCCUGAAAGAUAAAGCCCAGGGAAUCCUGUCUGGCCCGCCAAAUAGCACCACUUUUACAAGCUCCAUUCACAACCACUGGCCCCUUUGGACACGUGAUGACUUUACAGAGGCUGCAGGCUUGGUAGUUUCAAGGCCAAGAUUCAAGACAGAUAUUGUGGGUCCAGUGUCCUUGCCCCUUGAGAAACAAAGAGCAAACCAACCCCAGAGAACACGUCCACCUCUCUGGCCCCUGGGCAACCAGAGCCGGAUGGAACCACCCAUCAGAGGCAGAAGACACACAUCUUUCUGCUCCCUGAGGUCAGUUGAUUUGUGCCAGAGAGUCAGUGGUGCGCUGUGAGCCAUCUUAACACAUCCUAGGGCUCCCACUAACCCGUCUUUGCACCAGCAUCCAGGGGGCUUCAGAUGGGCUUUGUCUGUGCUCUGGCCCCUUCCGGAGGCCGUCUCCUCUAACAAACACUGACUCUCAGCCUUUCCUCCUGUUUCCCUCAGCGGCCCCCCAGGGCUCUCCUGGCCUUGGGCAGCUGCCAGCUUGAUGGAAUUCCUCCUCACCUUCUAAGCCAAGUGAAGUGCCCAGAGAGAGGGGCAAUUCUCUCAAAGACUCCCAGCACACACCCCAACCGACCCCAACGUAAGGCCUUAAACCCUCUGUUUUCUCCACCCACAUGUGCCAUGAGAG